AUCUGAUAGACAAUAAUCUCCAAGCAUUUUUCACCCAUAAACUAAUGCAGGAGUUUAAUGCUUGUAUUCCACUUACAUGGAUCUACAAGUUUGGCUCUUCUGUUACAUUA